rnacentral:rRNA from 1 species
GACGAACGCUGGCGGCGUGCUUAACACAUGCAAGUCGAACGGAAAGGCCCUGCUUUUGUGGGGUGCUCGAGUGGCGAACGGGUGAGUAACACGUGAGUAACCUGCCCUUGACUUUGGGAUAACUUCAGGAAACUGGGGCUAAUACCGGAUAGGAGCUCCUGCUUCAUGGUGUGGGUUGGCAAGUUUCGGCGGUUGGGGAUGGACUCGCGGCUUAUCAGCUUGUUGGUGGGGUAGUGGCUUACCAAGGCUUUGACGGGUAGCCGGCCUGAGAGGGUGACCGGCCACAUUGGGACUGAGAUACGGCCCAGACUCCUACGGGAGGCAGCAGUGGGGAAUAUUGCACAAUGGGCGGAAGCCUGAUGCAGCAACGCCGCGUGCGGGAUGACGGCCUUCGGGUUGUAAACCGCUUUCGCCUGUGACGAAGCGUGAGUGACGGUAAUGGGUAAAGAAGCACCGGCUAACUACGUG